GAAGAACAACAGGGAUUGCCUCAGUAACCGGCGAGUGAAGCGGCAACAGCUCAAAUUUGAAAUCUGGCCUUCUGGUCCGAGUUGUAAUUUGUAGAGGAUGUUUCGAACGUGGUCCGGUCUAAGUUUCUUGGAACAGAACGUCAUAGAGGGUGAGAAUCCCGUAUGCGACUGGGUGCCUAAGUUCAUGUGAAGCUCCUUCGACGAGUCGAGUUGUUUGGGAAUGCAGCUCAAAAUGGGUGGUAAAUUUCAUCUAAAGCUAAAUAUUGGCCAGAGACCGAUAGCGCACAAGUAGAGUGAUCGAAAGAUGAAAAGCACUUUGGAAAGAGAGUUAAACAGUACGUGAAAUUGUUGAAAGGGAAGCGCUUGCAACCAGACUUGCAUGCAGUUGAUCAUCCGAUGUUCUCACCGGUGCACUCGAUUGUAUUCAGGCCAGCAUCGGUUUUGGUGGUUAGAUAAAGGCCUUGGGAAUGUAGCUUCUUUCGGGGAGUGUUAUAGCCCUCGGUGCAAUGUAGCCUACCGGGACCGAGGACCGCGCUUCGGCUAGGAUGCUGGCGUAAUGGUUGUAAGCGACCCGUCUUGAAACACGGACCAAGGAGUCUAACAUCUAUGCGAGUGUUUGGGUGUAAAACCCAUACGCGUAAUGAAAGUGAACGGAGGUGAGAACCCUUAAGGGUGCAUCAUCGACCGAUCCUGAUGUCUUCGGAUGGAUUUGAGUAAGAGCAUAGCUGUUGGGACCCGAAAGAUGGUGAACUAUGCCUGAAUAGGGUGAAGCCAGAGGAAACUCUGGUGGAGGGCUCGCAGCGGUUCUGACGUGCAAAUCGAUCGUCAAAUUUGGGUAUAGGGGCGAAAGACUAAUCGAACCAUUCAAGGAGAGCACAUUAAAAUCCAAUUUUGAAGCUGAAGAUAUAACUUUUCCAAGUUUUGGCAUUUAAUGUCGCUAGGUGGUUAAUUAAGAGCAUAGUGCUCUUUAGUCCAAUUAUGGGCAACACUGCUGUACUGCAUGGACUUUCUUUACGAUUGACCUGCAGCAGGCUUAAAUGCCUGUUCACAGACUAAGUAGCAGUGGCCAGUAUUUACUGGUUUUGAUAUAGCCGGUUCCACUCCAGAGACGGAGUAGUGAGAAAUAUGACGUUAUAGUCCCUGGAGAUGAAGCUGUUUGUAGGGUGUGGCGCAGUUGGCGACUACAGAUGAGCUUGUCCAGAGGGGUUUGACAUAUUUCUUACCAAUGGGUAAACGCUAGUAGCUGGUUCCUGCCGAAGUUUCCCUCAGGAUAGCAGUGUUGAAUUCAGUUUUAUGAGGUAAAGCGAAUGAUUAGAGGCCUUGGGGCAGAAACUGCCUUAACCUAUUCUCAAACUUUAAAUAUGUAAGAAGUCCUUGUUACUUAAUUGAACGUGGACAUUCGAAUGUACCAACACUAGUGGGCCAUUUUUGGUAAGCAGAACUGGCGAUGCGGGAUGAACCGAACGUGAAGUUAAGGUGCCGGAAUAUACGCUCAUCAGACACCACAAAAAGUGUUAAUUCAUCUAGACAGCAGGACGGUGGCCAUGGAAGUCGGAAUCCGCUAAGGAAUGUGUAACAACUCACCUGCCGAAUGAAUUAGCCUUGAAAAUGGAUGGCGCUUAAGCGUAUUACCCAUACUUCACCGCCAGGGUAGAAACGAUGCCCUGGCGAGUAGGCAGGCGUGGAGGUCAGUGACGAAGCCUUGGGAGGUCCCGGGA
rnacentral:rRNA from 1 species